rnacentral:rRNA from 1 species
UACGUAGGGUGCAAGCGUUGUCCGGAAUUAUUGGGCGUAAAGAGCUCGUAGGCGGUUUGUCGCGUCGGCUGUGAAAACUUGGGGCUCAACCCCAAGCUUGCGGUCGAUACGGGCAGGCUAGAGUUCGGUAGGGGAGACUGGAAUUCCUGGUGUAGCGGUGAAAUGCGCAGAUAUCAGGAGGAACACCGGUGGCGAAGGCGGGUCUCUGGGCCGAUACUGACGCUGAGGAGCGAAAGCGUGGGGAGCGAACAGG